rnacentral:lncRNA from 1 species
AGAAAAAUUUGAGGCUUAUUGACGUAGAUGUCCCAGUUGUGGGUGGCCAUGCCGGUAUCACCAUUUUGCCUUUGCUAUCAAAGACGAAACCAUCAACUACUUUCACUGAUGAAGAAGUACAGGAGCUAACUGUGAGGAUUCAAAAUGCUGGCACAGAAGUUGUGGAGGCAAAGGCUGGUGCAGGGUCUGCUACACUGGAAACUCAAGGGGAAACUACUUUCACUGAUGAAGAAGUACAGGAGCUAACUGUGAGGAUUCAAAAUGCUGGCACAGAAGUUGUGGAGGCAAAGGCUGGUGCAGGGUCUGCUACACUUUCCAUGGCGUACGCAGCAGCA